rnacentral:rRNA from 1 species
AUGAACGCUGGCGGCGUGCCUAAUACCUGCAAGUCGCGCGAACGGACGAGAAGCUUGCUUUUCUGAUGUUAGCGGCGGACGGGUGAGUAACACGUGGAUAACCUACCUAUAAGACUGGGAUAACUUCGGGAAACCGGAGCUAAUACCGGAUAAUAUUUUGAACCGCAUGGUUCAAAAGUGAAAGACGGUCUUGCUGUCACUUAUAGAUGGAUCCGCGCUGCAUUAGCUAGUUGGUAAGGUAACGGCUUACCAAGGCAACGAUGCAUAGCCGACCUGAGAGGGUGAUCGGCCACACUGGAACUGAGACACGGUCCAGACUCCUACGGGAGGAAGCAGUAGGGAAUCUUCCGCAAUGGGCGAAAGCCUGACGGAGCAACGCCGCGUGAGUGAUGAAGGUCUUCGGAUCGUAAAACUCUGUUAUUAGGGAAGAACAUAUGUGUAAGUAACUGUGCACAUCUUGACGGUACCUAAUCAGAAAGCCACGGCUAACUACGUG